GUGAUGCUGAGGAAUGGAACCCAGGGCUUCGUGUAUGCGAGGCAAGCACUCUACCACUAGGCCAUAUUCCCAGCCCCUCAUAUUUAUUUUUGAUAAGAGCCUUCAUUAAUUUUAUUUCAAACUCCCAGCUGAGUAUAUUCCUGCCUGGACCCUUUGCUGAACCCAAAUCUUUUAUGAACACAAAGAAAUAAUAGAUUAAACUUUAAAAUUAGCUGUUGUAUUUUCUCCAACAUUUUGUUCCCCAGUAAUGUUAUAGGACCAUUUUGUUAAUGUGACAGAUUAUUUUUAGUUAUUUUCUAUACUUUUUGUCUUUAGCUAUAUUCUUUAAAAUUCCAGUAUUUUUGUAACUAAAAACACAUCUGUGGAUGUAUAAAAAUGUAUUUGAAUAAACAGAAAAUCUACAACAGAGAAAACUAUAAUGUUUAAGUACAGAAAUGGUUUCUAAUGAUGUAAACAAGCAAUAUUAACCUUUCUCUCAAAGUCUAAAGGCCCCCAAACAGACUUAUGCGUAAAUAUGUAGUAAUAUUUAAAAAUCAUCGAUAAAAGUUAUUCUAGAGCUGAGGAUGUUGAUAAGUGGUACAGCACACGUCUACCAUGUGCGAGGCCCAGAGUUUGACUUAAAAAAUAAAAGACUGAAUUUUUUUAAACACAAAUAGUUUGGUUUUAAUGGGGCUGUAUGCAGGUUUAGAGAAGGCCUAAAUCUAUAAUUGGAGAAAAGAGGAAAUCACUUUAUGAAGAAAAAUACAAGGCCUUGGACCAUGAUCCUCUAAAUGGCUCUCUUGAGUUGCUAGCAUUAUAGGUGUGAGACAAUGCCACCUGGUGUUUUGUAAUGUUUUAAGCAAAGUAGAAAUGAAGUGAAGGAAAGUUGUAAGUAAAAAAAUCAAGUAUUUCAA